rnacentral:lncRNA from 1 species
CCAGACAAACAGUGAUUCCAAUCCCCAACUAGUUAUAAGUAACUCAAACCAGGUACCAAGAUAUUACAUGUUAUGUACUUGAGCAAUCUAUUUCAAUGAUUGCGAUAAAUAUAACUAGAGUGUAGCUUCCUAGUGAUGUUGUAGACACAUUUAGAUGCCGUCCAAUGCCAAUUAGAAGACAGAAUUGCAAUCCCACAUGUUCUUCCCCAGUUAUACUUCACGAGUCAUUAUAAACAGACAAAUAAAGCAAAACAAAACCCAGGGAAAAACAAUUUCUUGUUGCACCAUGCUCGUAUAAUCUGACAGAUUAUUACACAUCAGAUUAAGAAUUUUGGUGCUUGUGUUAAGUAAACUCCCUUUAUUUCCUCAGCAGUUUGACCUACAUCUAAGAAUCUCAUUCACUAUCAGAUGAGAUGCCAACAUUAAAUUAAAAGCUUUUAUUUCUAUACAAAGCACAUUUAGCAAGCCAGUGGUGCAAGAGUGCAGGUGUACAUUUUGUCAGAAGAAUAUCUAACUUGAUUAAAUUUCCCAAUAGCAUCAAGAUGUUCACGGGGAGAAGGAUGAAAAAAGGUUGACAAAAUGCAAUGUCUAAAGGCUUCUUUCUAAACAAAAGAAGGGGAAUGUACUACAGCCAUUAGAAUUUGAUCCCCCUUCUCACAUUAUCAUACAGGAAAAACAAACCACCAAUUAAAAUGAGAAAACACAACUGUCAGUGGAAACACAAGCUAAGCAAUCAGAGAACUUUGAAGACCAUUUGAAAUGAUGAUUCCACAUCAGAUUCAGAUAUUAAAAUCUCAUCACUUUGCUAGCCUUUGAUAGUUCAUUUUUUUCCUUGUCUACUUCUAAUAACUGAAACCAAAUCAGAGAAUGCAGCAUCAACUGCGAUAUCAACAAAUAAAUAAAAAUUUCGAAUGAUAUACAACUAAAGCCAAAAAACUUUGAAAAAUACUAAAUGCUAUGCAUCAAAUACAAACAACAAGGACUUGAAACACUCAUUGUCACACCACCACCAAAACAUUCAAAAGUAAUUAACCCAUCGAACCAACUAAUCUAAUUACAACAACAGAGUAAAGCAAUCAGAGAACUUUGAAGACCUUAUGAAACAGUAUAUCCUCAUCAGUCUCAGACAAGUUUGAUUUCAUCAUUUCGCUUUGCUCAUUGAAUAGUACAAAUCACUGUAACACAAACUAUUUGGCAAAAACUUGAAAAUUGGGCUAAAACAGAACACCCAAUAACAUGAAUUUCGAUUGCCAAGGAUAAAUUUUGCACCUGAAAAACCCUAUCUCGUAAUUUCCUUGCAUCUAAACUUUGAGAUGCAAAGGGCUACAUGGUGCAUCAUGUUAUCAAUCAGUGUCAAAACCGAAUCGAAUCAAAUGGAACAACAGAGAAAAAAAAAAGGUACUAAGGCGGCACCGUGGGAAAGCAUAUGUAAAGUAGUUGGUUAGAUUUGUGAAGCCGGUGUCUUCAUCUUUAUAUAUACUACUGGGAGUACAUGGGCAAUUAGGGUUUAGUUUUUUUUCUGUUU